CCUACGAGUGGCAGCAGUGAGGAAUAUUGGUCAAUGGGCGCAAGCCUGAACCAGCCAAGUCGCGUGAGGGAAGACGGCCCUACGGGUUGUAAACCUCUUUUGCCGGGGAGCAAGCCUGAGCACGUGUGCCCAGGCGGAGAGUACCCGGAGAAAAAGCAUCGGCUAAUCCCGUGCCACCAGCAGCGGUAAUACGGGGGAUGCGAGCGUUAUCCGGAUUUAUUGGGUUUAAAGGGUGCGCAGGCGGGCUGUUAAGCCGGCGGUAAAAAUUCAGGGCUCAACCCUGUCGAGCCGUCGGAACUGGCAGCCUUGAGUGGGCGAGAAGUAUGCGGAAUGCGUGGUGUAGCGGUGAAAUGCAUAGAUAUCACGCAGAACGCCGAUUGCGAAGGCAGCAUACCGGCGCCCGACUGACGCUGAGGCACGAAAGCGUGGGGAUCGAACAGGAUUAGAUACCCCAGUAGUC
rnacentral:rRNA from 1 species